rnacentral:rRNA from 1 species
UACGAAGGGGGCUAGCGUUGUUCGGAAUUACUGGGCGUAAAGCGCACGUAGGCGGGUAUUUAAGUCAGGGGUGAAAUCCCAGAGCUCAACCUCUGGAACUGCCUUUGAUACUGGGUACCUAGAGUAUGGAAGAGGUGAGUGGAAUUCCGAGUGUAGAGGUGAAAUUCGUAGAUAUUCGGAGGAACACCAGUGGCGAAGGCGGCUCACUGGUCCAUUACUGACGCUGAGGUGCGAAAGCGUGGGGGAGCAAACAGG